rnacentral:rRNA from 1 species
AUUGAACGCUGGCGGCAGGCCUAACACAUGCAAGUCGAGCGGAUGAGUGGAGCUUGCUCCAUGAUUCAGCGGCGGACGGGUGAGUAAUGCCUAGGAAUCUGCCUGGUAGUGGGGGACAACGUUUCGAAAGGAACGCUAAUACCGCAUACGUCCUACGGGAGAAAGCAGGGGACCUUCGGGCCUUGCGCUAUCAGAUGAGCCUAGGUCGGAUUAGCUAGUAGGUGAGGUAAUGGCUCACCUAGGCGACGAUCCGUAACUGGUCUGAGAGGAUGAUCAGGCACACUGGACCUGAGACACGGUCCAGACUCCUACGGGAGGCAGCAGUGGGGAAUAUUGGACAAUGGGCGAAAGCCUGAUCCAGCCAUGCCGGGUGUGUGAAGAAGGUCUUCGGAUUGUAAAGCACUUUAAGUUGGGAGGAAGGGCAGUAAGUUAAUACCUUGCUGUUUUGACGUUACCAACAGGAUAAGCACCGGCUAACUUCGUGCCAGCCGCCGCUGUAAUAC